GCCGGGAUGGUGGAAUAGGUAGACACAGUGGACUUAAAAUCCACUGACCUUUUGGGGUCGUGUCGGUUCGAGUCCGACUCCCGGCA
rnacentral:tRNA from 2 species